AAGGAGUCCAACACACACGCGAGUGUUUGGGUGGCAAACCCGAGCGCGAAAUGAAAGUGAAUGUAGGUGGGAUCCCGCAAGGGUGCACCAUCGACCGGUCUGGAACUUUUGUGAAAGAUCUGAGUAAUAGCGUGUUUGCUGGGACCCGAAAGAUGGUGAACUAUGCCUGAAUAGGGUGAAGCCAGAGGAAACUCUGGUGGAGGCUCGUAGCGGUUCUGACGUGCAAAUCGAUCGUCAAAUUUGGGUAUAGGGGCGAAAGACUAAUCGAACCAUCUAGUAGCUGGUUCCCUC
rnacentral:misc_RNA from 1 species